AUUGAACGCUAGCUACAGGCUUAACACAUGCAAGUCGAGGGACCGGCGCACGGGUGAGUAACACGUAUCCAACCUGCCCUUUACUCGGGGAUAGCCUUUAGAAAGAAAGAUUAAUACCCGAUGUAAAGGAUGGGGAUGCGUUCCAUUAGGUGGUUGGUGAGGGAACGGCUGACCAAGCCUUCGAUGGAUAGGGGUUCUGAGAGGAAGGUCCCCCACAUUGGAACUGAGACACGGUCCAAACUCCUACGGGAGGCAGCAGUGAGGAAUAUUGGUCAAUGGUCGUUAGCCUGAACCAGCCAAGUAGCGUGAAGGAUGAAUGCUUAUGGGUCGUAAACUUCUUUUAUAUAAGAAUAUGUAUUAUAUGAAUAAGGAUCGGCUAACUCCGUGCCAGCAGCCGCGGUAAUUC
rnacentral:rRNA from 1 species